rnacentral:misc_RNA from 1 species
GUGAAUCAUCGAAUUUUUGAACGCAAAUUGCACUUUCUGGUAUUCCUGAGAGUAUGCGUGUUUGAGGCUCAGUUAAAUAGAAAUCGUUGUUGUUUCUGCCUUUCGUGGUUAGGCGUCUGGGUUAGGUCGUCUUACCUUGGGUUAAGUGACUUAAAAUUUUUGCAUUAGUUUCGAACGUAGUUAAAUCGCUUACGUACUUUACAGAUAUCGGAUGCUCAUUAUUUUCUGUCAUUCCCAUUCAUCG